rnacentral:rRNA from 1 species
CACAAGACGGAGGAACGAUGUGGUUAAUUCGAUGAUACGCGAGGAACUUACCGGCUUGAAAUGCAGAAGACGAAUCAGGAAACUGAUUUUCCAGCAAUGGCUUCUGUGUAGGUGCUGCAUGGUUGUCGUCAGCUCGUGCCGUGAGGUGUCGGCUUAAGUGCCAUAACGAGCGCAACCCUUGCCAUUAGUUACUAACAGGUCGUGCUGAGGACUCUAAUGGGACUGCCACCGCAAGGUGUGAGGAAAGGUGGGGAUGACGUCAAAUCAGCACGGCCCUUACGUCCGGGGCGACACACGUGUUACAAUGGGGGGGACAGAAAGUUGCUAAGCGGCGACGCAGCGCUAAUCUCCAAACCCUCUCUCAGUUCGGAUCGGAGUCUGCAACUCGACUCCGUGAAGCUGGAUUCGCUAGUAAUCGCGCAUCAGCCAUGGCGCGGUGAAUACGUUCCCGGGCCUU